rnacentral:rRNA from 1 species
AACGAACGCUGGCGGCAUGCCUAACACAUGCAAGUCGAACGAAGGCUUCGGCCUUAGUGGCGCACGGGUACGUAACGCGUGGGAAUCUGCCCCUCGGUUCGGAAUAACAGUUAGAAAUGACUGCUAAUACCGGAUGAUGACUUCGGUCCAAAGAUUUAUCGCCGAGGGAUGAGCCCGCGGAAGAUUAGGUAGUUGGUGGGGUAAAGGCCUACCAAGCCGACGAUCUUUAGCUGGUCUGAGAGGAUGAACAGCCACACUGGGACUGAGACACGGCCCAGACUCCUACGGGAGGCAGCAGUGGGGAAUAUUGGACAAUGGGCGAAAGCCUGAUACAGAAAUGCCGCGGGAGUGAUGAAGGCCUUAGGGUUGUAAAGCUAUUUUACCAGGGAUGAUAAUGACAGUACCUGGAGAAUAAGCUCCGGCUAACUCCGUGCCAGCAGCCGCCGUAA